rnacentral:lncRNA from 1 species
UUCAAAGUGAAUGGCCAACGAUCGAAACAUUAUGUAGAUGAAAUCAGAGAUGGUGAGCAAGUUGACUCAAUUAAAUUGUAGGAUCCAAUCUACAAUUGAAUAUAGUUUGACUGAAGACAUUAAACUUAGCGCUUGUUGGGAGGCAACCCAAUUUAUGUAAUUAUUUUUUUUAUUUUUUUUAAUUUUGUAGGAAUCUUUGAGAAAGACAAUUAGCCAAGUUGGAUCUUUACAAUAGAGUAGAAAAAAAUGAUGCUAUUAGCCAAGUUAGGGGGAGCACCACGAUCAAUGG